AGCCCCUAGCGCAGACGGCGGAGAGCAGAGAGGGAGCGCGCCUUGGCUCGCUGGCCUUGGCGGCGGCUCCUCAGGAGAGCUGGGGCGCCCACGAGAGGAUCCCUCACCCGGGUCUCUCCUCAGGGAUGACAUCAUCCGUCCACCUCCUUGUCUUCAAGGACCACCUCCUCUCCAUGCUGAGCUGCUGCCAAGGGGCCUGCUGCCCAUCUACACCUCACGAGGGCACUAGGAGCACGGUUUCCUGGAUCCCACCAACAUACAAAGCAGCCACUCACUGACCCCCAGGACCAGGAUGGCAAAGGAUGAAGAGGACCGGAACUGACCAGCCAGCUGUCCCUCUUACCUAAAGACUUAAACCAAUGCCCUAGUGAGGGGGCAUUGGGCAUUAAGCCCUGACCUUUGCUAUGCUCAUACUUUGACUCUAUGAGUACUUUCCUAUAAGUCUUUGCUUGUGUUCACCUGCUAGCAAACUGGAGUGUUUCCCUCCCCAAGGGGGUGUCAGUCUUUGUCGACUGACUCUGUCAUCACCCUUAUGAUGUCCUGAAUGGAAGGAUCCCUUUGGGAAAUUCUCAGGAGGGGGACCUGGGCCAAGGGCUUGGCCAGCAUCCUGCUGGCAACUCCAAGGCCCUGGGUGGGCUUCUGGAAUGAGCAUGCUACUGAAUCACCAAAGGCACGCCCGACCUCUCUGAAGAUCUUCCUAUCCUUUUCUGGGGGAAUGGGGUCGAUGAGAGCAACCUCCUAGGGUUGUUGUGAGAAUUAAAUGAGAUAAAAGAGGCCUCAGGCAGGAUCUGGCAUAGAGGAGGUGAUCAGCAAAUGUUUGUUGAAAAGGUUUGACAGGUCAGUCCCUUCCCACCCCUCUUGCUUGUCUUACUUGUCUUAUUUAUUCUCCAACAGCACUCCAGGCAGCCCUUGUCCACGGGCUCUCCUUGCAUCAGGGCUAAUCUCGGGCCUUGUCGAAGGAAGAGGCUGCAGACGUUAAUGAGGUUAGCUGCUGGAUUCCAGUAUUCGUCGCAUAAGGAUCCUUCUUUGUCUGCGAAGGAAAAACACACUGAUUAUCAUAAUGAGCAGGUUCCCAGUGCCCCCGACAAGCCCCUGCUGGUGUCUCCAUCUCCUGCCAAGCAUCCUCCAGUGCCUCCUCCUGUGGGCCUGGCCUCAGGGCUAUGGACAGACUCCUGUCCCAUCCCAGAGACCCCUCGUGAUCGUGCCCUGGCACGUGGGCCGUGGCCCGGCUGGGUCGGCUGAAGAACUGCGGAUGGAAGCUGCGGAAGAGGCCCUGAUGGGGCCCACCAUCCCGGACCCAAGUCUUCUUCCUGGCGGGCCUCUCGUCUCCUUCCUGGUUUGGGCGGAAGCCAUCACCUGGAUGCCUACGUGGGAAGGGACCUCGAAUGUGGGACCCCAGCCCCUCUCCAGCUCGAAAUCCCUCCACAGCCACGGGGACACCCUGCACCUAUUCCCACGGGACAGGCUGGACCCAGAGACUCUGGACCCGGGGCCUCCCCUUGAGUAGAGACCCGCCCUCUGACUGAUGGACGCCGCUGACCUGGGGUCAGACCCGUGGGCUGGACCCCUGCCCACCCCGCAGGAACCCUGAGGCCUAGGGGAGCUGUUGAGCCUUCAGUGUCUGCAUGUGGGAAGUGGGCUCCUUCACCUACCUCACAGGGCUGUUGUGAGGGGCGCUGUGAUGCGGUUCCAAAGCACAGGGCUUGGCGCACCCCACUGUGCUCUCAAUAAAUGUGUUUCCUGUCUUAACAAAAAAAAAAAAAAAAAAAAAAAAAAAAAAAAAAA
rnacentral:lncRNA from 1 species